ACGGCCCUACGGGUUGUAAACUGCUUUUGCAGGGGAAUAAACCUCGUUACGUGUAACGAGUUGAAUGUACUCUGAGAAUAAGGAUCGGCUAACUCCGUGC
rnacentral:rRNA from 1 species